rnacentral:lncRNA from 1 species
UCCUGCCGUGCCAAUGGCGAGCCGCUCCUCCCUCCCUCCUCGCUGCGACCCACGCGCCCUCGAAGCCACCGGAGUAGAGCGUGACGGUGGUAGCAUCCAGUGAGCGGCGCAGCUCCCUUUCUCCCUGCCCUUUCUCCCUCGCUCUCAUAACCUCCAUGCAUCUGGAGAUGGAGAGAACGGCGCGGCUCCGACGAGGUAGGUGGGGAGGGAUUUGGAUCUGAGGCCUCCCUCUCCCUUUUCCCUCCCUCAUCUUUUGUGGAUCUGGAUCUAGGCCCUCCUCUACUCCUCCUUCUCCUCUUCCUCUAGGUCUAGAUCUAUGAGAUGUGUUGGCUAGGGUUCCGGCGAGCUCUUGGGAUUCAGUGCUCUCGAGUGUUGUAAUGGUGGUUAUUUGCAGUUUUUCAGGUGAUGUUGCAGUAGGAUAGGGUUUUAGGCAAGCUCUCGGCUUCAGAUUUUGUCAUUGUUGCAAUGGUUCUUUCUAGACGUUGCAGUAGGUUUCAGUCGUUGUUGCAGUAUUGUGUUCUUGAGAUGUUUCAGUUGCUUCAAUCUGCAUGUUGUAGUAGUUUGUUUCAUGUUGUUACAACAGUUGUUUGGUGUUGUUGUAGUACUAUGUUCAUGGUGUUUCAGUUGCUCCAUCCAAUGCUUCAAUCUGCACUGUUGUAUUAGUUGUUGCAUAUUGUUGCAACAUUUGUUCGAUGUUGUUGUAAUACUAUGUCCAUGGUGUUUCGGUUGCUCCAUCCAAUGCUUCAACCUAUGCUAUUGUAUUAGUUGUUACAUGUUGUUGCAACAGCCGUUCGUUGUUGUUGUAAUACUAUGUUUAUGGUGUUUCAGCUGUUCUAACCAAUACUUCAAUCUGUAUGUUGUAGUAGUUGUUUGCAUGCUGUUGCAGCAGUUGUUCGUUGUUUGUUGUAA